GUAGUCCUUGUUAUUCCAGCCAUUAAGGUAGAACAGCAAAUAAAAUUGCAUUUACAUGUUUGCUGAAACGAAGGGCUCCUUCUUGUUUAUAUCACAGGCAGUCAAACCUCUCACUGAAAUGGAGAUUGGACACAGAAUGGGCAUUGUAAAUAACUUCCUUUUUGUUGUGAUAAAUGGAAUCCAUUUACAAGUCAAAUGAAAAAUGGGAUAGAUGAUCUUUUUGGACACCUGAGGAGUGACAAAAGCAUACUUCAGACCUCUGAGUCAGCGAGGGACAGGACUGAAGGGAAAAGCUUUGGGAAUAAAUAUGGGAAUAAACAUUGCUCUGAUUCUCUUAGCCAGCACGAUUCCUGGGAAAGAAGUUUUAUUAACUGCAGUAACUGGAAAUAGAAUGCUGAAUGAACAAAUAUUGAAGCCCUAUUAGCAUUCAGCUAGAAAAUCAGAUGAAUGUGCAGUGUUCCAGUUAGUGACCUGUGUAUUAUCCAAAGCUCAUAAAACGAACCAAGCGGUCGGACCCAAGGAUGCAGCGACCCUGAUCAGGCACAGACUGGAAGGCUGGAACAGGAAACCUCCUGUGCUCCUGUAUAAAUCAAUACUCUACAAGCUAAAGGACUGAGAUUGUCAGGAAAAGGUAUGAAUUUUAAGGCCAGACGUGACUAUUAUGUGAAUGACUAUUCAAUCAGAGGUUUUGAUUGAAUUGGCUCUAGAAAUGGAUGGGUCCAACUCGCCUCAACUGGCUGGGUGUUAUUAAUCCUUCUCCUGGGUGAACCAAUGCAGCAUGAAUCAUUAAAGGGGCUUGGCUCAAGAUGGUUGGUUUGUCCCUCACUGCAACAGUUAUUUGCCAGCUUUUAGCUGUUGCUUCCAGUUUCAAAUAUUGUGCCACCAGGAGCUCCAAAAUAAAUACUAUUAUCUUAAAAUAUUCCAAUCAUCCUCAGAUGAACAUUAUAAACAAGAGCAGGAAAAGGAUAGAAGAGCAAUUGUGAGAUAUAAACAAGAGCAGGAAAAAGGAUAGAAGAGCAAUUGUGAGAUCCUUAUAGGCCUUACUAUUGUGUUGAGCAUUAGCUGAGAUGCUUAUUCAAAUUCUGAUCUCCAGGGGCUUCAUGUAAAGUUAACUGGAAGGCAAUUUUUGACAAAGUCAAAAAUCUCUUGCAUGGACUCACAAAAUGAAUAAUGUCACCGUGAUAUUUUCUGAAAAAUCCUAUUCGCCAGGAUUUCUUCUCCUGGGAAGCUGAGAAGCCUCAGACAGGAAUGAAAACAAUAAUUAUCUGAUUGCUUCUCCCUGUUUUGCUGCUUUGGAAUGUGGUCUGGAGUUUGUUUGCCAACUGGUCAUUGUUUGAUUGGUUUCAUGUGAAUUGUUUUAACUUAAUGACCAAUCACAGUCCAGCUGUGUCAGGACUCUGGAAGCAGUCACGAGUUUUCAUUACCAUUCUUGUUAAAUCUUCUGUCUGAAUCCUUUCUCUGUUCUUUGUAUAGCAUUUUUUAAUAUUAUGUAAUAUCAUAAAAUAAUAAAUUAGCCUUUAAGAUCAUGGAGUCAAAUUAAUUCGUCUAUCACCUUGCCCUAGGGACCCCUGCAAACUCAAGAAAUAGUGACCCCAGUGUGGCACUGAUCACCCCUUUGUGGAGUCGCACCACAGAAUAACUUUACUUGUUCCUAUCAACCUAUCUUCAGAGGUACUGUGAGACUGAAUCUUGCCAUGACAGUGGGAAAUCCAUAUAAUAUUUCUUCAGAGUGUGAAGAAAGCAAAAAAUCCUCUAAGCUAGAACGAGCAGUACCGUUGUUGACUCUUUUAAUGUGAAUAGACUUCUGCAUUUUUCGUCAGGUUGCAUGAUCUCCUAAGGUCAUAUUGCUUAAAUGCUCAAAUGUGCCCCAGGUUCUCUCCUUAGUUCCUAUUUUAUAAAAUGACAAACAUGCCCCAGCAGCACUCUUACAAUACAGGUAGCAAAAAACCCAUUGAUGCUGUUAGACACAAAGUUGACUUCUAAGCAGGAAGAUUAGCCAGUCCCUUGGAAAUUAUACUAUGAGUAGAAUAGCAGAAUCAUAGAAUGGCUUGGCUUGUAAGGGACCUUAAAGAUCAUCCAGCUCCAACCCUCCUACCAUGGUGGAUUGGUACAUCCUCACCCAUAAAAUGAAGUUUUUCAGAAUACAAAAUAAAAAGGUGCUGUAGGAAGUGUUGUAUUUGCCUUGGAGCUUCCUGGUAGUAAACCUUUUAUGUUCCCCUUGUUCUAAAUUCUGUUCAAAAUCUCCUCCCAUCAAAGCAGUUGGAGGUCUGUCAGGUAAUUCGACUUGUAUGCAGGCGGCACCACAGAUAGCGUCACUGGCAUUUGAGAUUCCUGCUAUUAAAAUGAAGAGCUAACUCUGAAGAGAGAGGCAAAAGAAUUUGCUAGAGCACUUUUUCUUUGGUAAAGAGCUCAUGAUAGUGUCCAGAGGUCUGUUAAAAUAAUCAUAGCAUUUUGUCCUUCUUUUUCUGAAGUGCAGAUCUGCUUUCAGUGAGAGAUUAAGAGACUGGCAGCCUUGGGAGUUUGCUGGUUUGGACAGUUUCCAGCCCCAAUACCAUCUCCCAUCCCUACCCAGGAGCAGCCAUAACAUCUCUUUUCCUCCAAAAAUCUUUUUUGUCCUUAGUUCUAAAUGCCAGGUCUUAGCACUAAGCCAGAUAUUGAGGGAGGUGUGAACUGGAGUCAAUUGAUCUAUGUGGAUUUAUCUCUGCUAAAGAUUUUUUUACCGUUAUUUGUCAAACAGAGUCUCAGCACUUUGUGGGGCAGAAGUGAAGCACAAACAAUCUAGAGUGGAGGUGAAGAUGGGAUUACUAUCUAAACCAUCUCAUCCUUGACACUGGACUAUGCUAUUACUUCAUCAGAAAAUUUCACUUUACAUCCACCUUUACAAAGAUAUGUUAAACUAUGCAAACUAAUGGCUGUAGAGAAUUGUACAUUAAUUUUUGCAACCUUUUUAUUUACCUCUUUUACCUCCGCAAAAGAUUGUAGUCUCCUAUCCCUCCAAAUUGUUACAAAUUCACAUCUCAUGUAUUUAAUUCUUUGGGUCCCCAGAAAAAUUCUGUUUCAAAUAAUGAGCAGCAGAAUUAGAUAUGAAAGCCAAGGGAGAACCAAGCACUUGCUAAUGAAGGGAGAUGGUUUGGAGUGUUUUGAACUACCUUGUUCCAUCAAGGUCAACCAGAUUAAAUUUCCAGAGAAUGUGGACUUCUGAACAAAAUCAACAAUUGCUUUCAACCCAUUUUGAAACUCUUUCAACCCAAGCCUUAAAACCCACAGAGAUAUGUUUCUUGUCAACUUUGUGUUUUGAAAGGCAUUAAACAAAGCUUAAACUAAGAUAAACAAUUGUCUGAUUUCUAAAGUAAACAAUAAAUUGUUGCAUGGGGAACAUU